UACAGAGGGUGCGAGCGUUGUCCGGAAUCACUGGGCGUAAAGGGCGCGUAGGCGGUUUUGUAAGUUGGGGGUGAAAUGCUGCGGCUCAACCGCAGCGCUGCCCUCAAGACUGCAAGACUUGAGCACGGUAGAGGCGGAUGGAAUUCCCGGUGUAGCGGUGGAAUGCGUAGAGAUCGGGAAGAACACCAAUGGCGAAGGCGGCUUCCUGGACUAAUACUGACGCUGAGGUGCGAAAGCGUGGGGAGUAAACAGG
rnacentral:rRNA from 1 species